CUUUCACCACCCCCUGGGCACCAGCAUCCCUGAGGCCCUAUCAGCAUCUCUCUUCUCUUUCUUCUUUCCUCCCCGUCUCUCCUUUUUCUCUCUCACAUCUCCUCUCUCCUCUUCACUCCCAUUCCUUCAGACAGCAGGUCUACCCUUCAGACUCUCAAACCCACAGCCCAUCUGCGAUCUCCAGACUUCAGGCCUCUAACUUCCACUUCCAGCUGCUGGCUUAGUGUUUCCACUGGAUACCCUGCUGCGUCCAAACCCACGCCCUCCUGAUUUCUCUUUCUCCAGAACCUGUGCAGAACAAUGUCAAAGAGGCCCUGGAUUAAAGAACAUUUCAGUGUGGAGACUCUCGGACGGCACACACUCCAAGAGCAAGAAUUCCUACGGGAAGAAGGUGCACUUUUGCAGGUCCUGAUGCCUCCGGGUCUUGGAUAACACCAUCCUCUACUUAGAGCUCCAGCCUCCAGCAUCCCCAAGCCAGCCUGCCCCCCACGCUGCCAGCAGAGACAUCUUUCUAAAACACAAAUGGAAUGUUACUGCUCAAAACCUUGCUGCAGCUUCUGGGGUGUUACUCUUGAAAGAAACUACAACAGUUCUCCAGCUUCUCCGGAAUCCCCCAACCCACCUCAGCCAGAGGGAAGAAAAUUUGGGUACUAUCGACGGCCUGAGAUUCAUGAUAGAUACACACUCGCAUUCAUUCAUUCAACAAACAUUUAAGUGCAUAUUAUAUAUGAAAAAAACAGGCAAAAAUCUCUGCCUUCAUGGGGUUUAUAUUCUAGACAGAGAGAGAGACAGACAAAUCAGAUAAAUAAGAUAUAUUGUACAUUAGAUAGUGAUAUAACAAACAUUAUGUGCUGGAUGAGCCGGAUGAUGGAAGCAAAUCCCCCCACGCACACACCCCACCCCAAGGCCUUCCACAUGGGGUUUUUGGUUUUUGUUUUUCUUGAGACGGAGUCUCACU
rnacentral:lncRNA from 1 species